CUACAAGCAUCUUUCUGCUCCAACUUUCCAGUAAUGGUACCACAAAAGGCACAUCUUCAUCAGAUUUUAGAUUUUAGCCUUUGGUUUUCUUUCCUAUUAGUUAGCUGCACACCCAUUGCUUCCUAGCAGCUUUAUUACUUGGUAAGUAAAUAGCAAGCAUUCCAUCUAAACUCUGAACUUUCUAACAUAUUACCCCUUGACUAAGACUCUUUACUCCUUCGAAUCACUGAACUCAACUAGACCGUUAAAUAGAAGGUUAACAACCACCAUCAUAGGUUCCUACCUUCCCAGCUCUACCAGGAAUGGUUUGCCUACCCCUUUGCAGGCCUCCCUGCCCAUCUGCUUCGGCUAUUGGUCUAGAAAUGGCUGCAAGAGACUGCUCUGUGAGCCUAAGAACAUCGGCUAUCUUCUGUACAGGACUAGUACGAACUUGAACUGGGAACAUAAAAUGUACUAGCUAUAACAAACAGGUGCGGAGCGAGCUCUUAAUUCCAUAACAGACCUUUGUCUUUGUCGCUCUCCGUUACUUGGAAAAGUAAGCUCAUUUGCCUUCUUAUCUACAUCUAGAAGCCUGGACUCCAACCCAUCGCUUUACGCUCUCUCUCUUCUAUUCGAAAUAACCUCCUAUUUUUGGAAUAUUCCUGGGGCAAGAAGGUUUCUAACCUGUAAACCACUAGCUACGCACCCAUUGCUUCCUAGCAGCUCUAUUACUAGGUAAGUAAACACCUCAACGACUAUCUUGUCUUCUAAUACUACAAUACAAUCAUACUAUUUAUCAACCAUUAGAGUUCAGUAAACUUCUUCUUACGCCCUCGGAUCACAGCCGCGACUCCACGUAAACCGAAUGGCUUUGAGAACUGUCCUUGGUCACUUCCUAUAUCUGUCAGCGUUUCAUCGCUUCAUAUUACUGCUUAUUUUACUGGUAACGUUGUCCUCUUUAGACAAAAUCUACAUAUAUAAUUAUUAACCAACUGAUUUAUCUUUUUCCUUGCAGAAUUCUGCAAGAGUGACCAUUUGAUCUACCAUAAGCUAAACUAUAGUUCCCUUGACAGACGACCAUUGUUGAACAAGCGACAUUCCAUCAACGAGCUCCUAGAUGUUGGCACAACCGCUUGUUCAGCAAUGAUUCUGCUGCCAAGUGAACUUUGGUUUGCACUGGCUCAACACUUCUGUUAAGGUAUGUGAGCCUGUGCUGCUUAUUCUGAUGUCGGUGAUGUGUGUGGUUUUCCCUUGUCCGAGGAGAGGGACAGUAUUGAAAGAUGAUUUUUGUUUGGUUCUACUUGUAGACGACAUAUAAUAAGUAACUUGAUUUACAACCAAGGGUAAUAUUGGUAUUUCCUUUUGACAUUUUUCUUUGCUUAUUUCAGUUGCGCACUCCAUUAGCCACCACAAAGUUUUUAUUCCACUGAUUUUACCUUUCAUGCCUGCACCCAGAACAUUUUUGCUCCAAACAGGGAAGAGCUUUCUUACUCUUUCCUGUUUGU
rnacentral:lncRNA from 1 species